rnacentral:lncRNA from 1 species
GGGUGGGUACUUAUGACUACAGAGUUGGGCCUGGGUAUACCCCCUGUAGUCCGUGGCUGGCCGGCUGUAGGCCACGUCUGGCAGAACCAAAGCAAUGGCAGUCUAGCCAUUGCUUUGGCCUCUCUGCUUGGUCCCCUGAGAAGGUGUGAACAUGGCUGUUCUCCAACUCUGUAAGUCUUAACCGGCAGCUGUAGAAGCUGACAGAGAGCCCUGAAAAUACCAUACCCCAAGGACCCGGGCCCUGUCGGCCAGUCCACCUCUCCUGCAGCCUUCUGAGGCGGCCUGCUGAUGGACCUGGGUUUACACAAGAAUAAAUGUUCCUGAGAGUCC